rnacentral:pre_miRNA from 1 species
UAUAAGGGAUUUUGAGUUUUUACAUGUAACGUUUGACCACUCGUCUUAUUCAAAUUUUUUUGAAAUUAUUAUUUAUUUUAUUUGUGACUUACUAUUAUCUACAGUACUUUAAACACAACUUUUUAUUUUUUAUAUUUGCAAAAAAAAACUGAAUAAGACGAGUGGUCAAACGUUACAAUCAAAAACUCAAAAUCCCUUAUA